rnacentral:rRNA from 1 species
UACGUAGGGUGCAGGCGUUAAUCGGAAUUACUGGGCGUAAAGCGUGCGCAGGCGGUUUCUUAAGUCAGAUGUGAAAGCCCCGGGCUUAACCUGGGAACUGCGUUUGAAACUGGGAGACUUGAGUGUGGCAGAGGGGGGUGGAAUUCCACGGUGUAGCAGUGAAAUGCGUAGAUAUGUGGAGGAACACCGAUGGCGAAGGCAGCCCCCUGGGUUAACACUGACGCUCAUGCACGAAAGCGUGGGGAGCAAACAGG